CUGGUGUGCUCAGAGCAGACGUUGGUUAGGCCAGUACUCGGCUGUUUAUACCACACCACAGAGAAAUCACAUGCUGCCUUGUCACUUGCAGGGGACCUUAAGCUAUUGGCCUUUCUGUCGUAGAAGGCAGCAAACAU